UCUGUAAUAAUAAAAUCAAUCGUUAUUACUUAUUGUUUAAUUAUUCGAUAAAUCUUCGUAUCCUUAAAAUAUCAUACGAGAGGAAUGAUUUUUCAAUAAAAAUAAAAAAAUGUCAAUAUUGCAAAACAAUUUACACGUAUGACUCGUCAUGGUAUAAUAUACGAUUUUAAUUUUUUUAUUGAAAGUUACUAUAAUAGCAACCAAGCAUAAAAGCCCUCUGGCAGCAAAGUCCGUCUCUGUGGUGUAAUGUUUAUAUUAGCUGAUGCAUCGUUCAAUUCAUCCAUUGCUUUUAUACAUACAUCAUGAUGUUUCUUUUUUUUUUUUUCAUGAAGAUUAAUAAUUUUAUAGAUUAAUUGAAACAUUGAAUCAAAAUUAAUAAAGAAUUAAUACGAGAUGCAUAUCAUGUACAUCAUCAGGGAAAAAUGAUUUUCAUCAUUAAAUUUUCGGAAUGCCUAUCUCCUUUGAAAUUUAUUGCCACGUGCAUCGGGGAAAAAAAUUUUCCCCUGUCUAUCUGAAGAGUAAUGCAAAUGAAAGCUCCCCUCUUAUUCGCCUUCUCUAUCUCGAGAGGCUUUAUAAUCGUGUCAUGAGGAGAAAGCGAAUUGAUGAAAUCAGAAAUGCAGAUCAUGACUGCACAAUUGAGAUUAAUCGUGUAUGUGUACAACUAUAGAAUAGAAACAAGAAAAAACACAUUUGUGCAUUUCUUCCAUGAAAUUUUUUAAAUUUUUGUUCGAUUUUUCUUCUUUCCUAUACGAGUAAUAAUCAGAUGAUUGUCAUGAUAUUAUAUAUAAAGAUUGUUAUUAUCGUUUUUCCUUUUUUUUGUUUGAUAAACAUUAUUUAUGUAUUAAAUUUCACAUAUUUUAUAAUAUCUAUGUUAUUUUAUGUUAUUCAUAUUUUUUUCAGAAUAGUAUUUAAUACAUUAUAUGCAUAUUUUUUAAAAGAUACAUCAAUGGUUAAAAUGCGUCUAAAGAGGGUGAAAAAGGUUUUAGUCUUUUAAAAGGGACCUAUUUUUUUCUACCAGCCGGAAAGAGAACACUCUUUACUUACCCAUUCUUCACUGUUUAUGGACUAGCUUGCAUUUUCUCUACGCUAAAAACUUUUUUGCAAUAAAAAGGCAACAUAAAUAUAGAAAUAUAGAUAUAGUUUAAAAAUAUAGAUUAAAUAAUUUUACUCGAACUUUACUUAUAUAUUUGCAACUCGAAAAAAUCUUUUCUUUUUUAUAAAUAUCUCUCUUAUCAUUCCUAUCAUCAUUCCUUACAAUUGUCAAAUCUAAAACUUCUUCUGUUUCCAGAGAUCCACUAUAAAAAGUGAAACAAACUUCACGCCAUCAUUUCGACUCAACGUUAUUCUAUACUUUUCUGAGAAAAAAGUUUCACAAGUGAAUCAACUGGCGUUCGUUUUCUCACGUUUUCCGCUCGAAAAGUUACGAUCACUCAGCCGAGACCCACCUCAUAGUUUAAUCCGGGGUGCACUUGAUUCGAGAGAUCAUGUGCAACCUGUGCCUAUAUACAGGGGUAACCGAACUCCAAAAACACCCCCAAGGGUCCAGGGCGUCCGGCACAACGUUUAAAAUAAAUUUCAAUUCGAAGCCAGAAAGGGGAGUGUGUGUAUGUGUGUGUGUAUCACUUUCAUUAGACCUCUGUCGUGUUUAACGAGCUAUUGAUAUCUUCCACUCAUUGGAUAGUACCACUGUAUAAGUAGAUUGGUAUGGGCGUAUACAUGUAUGAGCUUGCCACGGUAAUCGUUACUAUCCCCUUUUCCAGAGCUCCCUUUUUCAACCAAGGAAAUCACCAUAUGUAUGCGAUGUGUGUGUUAAAGGCGCGGUAAAACCUAUAGCGAUAUUCCAUUCUAAAGUUUUGCCCUAUGGGAAACUUCAGAUGCUCGGAUAAUUGCGGUUAAACCAGAAAAUUAGGUUCAUGACGAAUCACUGAUCACCGAGGGCGAGUUGUGGGAAGUUUUACAAGAUGAUCAUUCUUUCUUUGUGGGAUAUAUUGUCACAUCGAAUGUUGUAUCAGCUUGAUAUAAUUAUAUGAAGUUUUAAAAAUUAAA